UCGACUAGUUUAAUGAAAAGAAGAACUAGGGGUGAUAUGAUACCAAUGUUCCAAUAUCUAAGAGGCUGCCACAAAGAAGAAGAGGUCAACCUAUUUUUCAAAGCACCUGAAGGCAGGACAUAAAGCAAUGGAUAAAAACUAAUCAAGGAAUGAACUUGAACUAAGAAGAAUUU